rnacentral:rRNA from 1 species
UACGGAGGGUGCAAGCGUUAUCCGGAUUCACUGGGUUAAAGGGUGCGUAGGUGGGCAGGUAAGUCAGUGGUGAAAUCUCUGAGCUUAACUCAGAAACUGCCGUUGAUACUAUCUGUCUUGAAUAUCGUGGAGGUGAGCGGAAUAUGUCAUGGUAGCGGAUGAAAUGCUUAGAUAUGACAUAGAACAUCAAUUGCGAAGGCAGCUCGCUACACGGUUAUUGACACUGAGGCACGAAAGCGUGGGGAUCAAACAGG